rnacentral:rRNA from 1 species
UCGACGAGAACAGGAGCUUGCUCCUGUGGAAAGUGGCGGACGCGUGAGACAACAUAGGAAAUCUGCCUUAGGGUGGGGGACAACAGAGGGAAACUUCUGCUAAUACCCCAUAUGAGUUUGGUUGAAAUACCAAUCUUGAAAGUUCCGGCGCCCUAAGGUGAGCCUGUGCCUGAUUAGCUAGUUGGUGGUGUAAUGGACUACCAAGGCGACGAUCAGUAGCUGGUUUGAGAGGAUGAUCAGCCACAAUGGGACUGAGACACGGCCCAUACUCCUACGGGAGGCAGCAGUAGGGAAUUUUGCGCAAUGGGCGAAAGCCUGACGCAGCAACACCGCGUGAAUGUUAAGCCCUUCGGGGUGUAAAGUUCUGUCAAUAGGGACGAAUUUUGACCGUACCUAUAAAGGAAGCACCGGCUAACUCCGUGCCAGCAGCCGCGGUAAUACGGGGGGUGCAAGCGUUGUCCGGAAUCAUUGGGCGUAAAGCGUUCGUAGGCGGCAAGGUAAGUCUGAUGUUAAAGCCCGGGGCUCAACUCCGGUUCGGCAUUGGAUACUAUCUAGCUAGAAUGUGGUAGAGGUAAAGGGAAUUCCUGGUGUAGCGGUGAAAUGCGUAGAUAUCAGGAGGAACAUCGGUGGCGAAAGCGCUUUACUGGACCAUUAUUGACGCUGAGGAACGAAAGCCAGGGGAGCAAAUGAGAUUAGAUACCCCAGUAGUCCUGGCCGUAAACGAUGGAUACUAGGUGUUGCGGGUAUCGACCCCUGCAGUGC